AGAGUUUGAUCCUGUGCUCAGGAUGAACGCUGGCGGCGUGCUUAACACAUGCAAGUCGAGCGAAGCACUUAAGUUUGAUUCUUCGGAUGAAGACUUUUGUGACUGAGCGGCGGACGGGUGAGUAACGCGUGGGUAACCUGCCUCAUACAGGGGGAUAACAGUUAGAAAUGACUGCUAAUACCGCAUAAGACCACGGUACCGCAUGGUACAGUGGUAAAAACUCCGGUGGUAUGAGAUGGACCCGCGUCUGAUUAGGUAGUUGGUGGGGUAACGGCCUACCAAGCCGACGAUCAGUAGCCGACCUGAGAGGGUGACCGGCCACAUUGGGACUGAGACACGGCCCAGACUCCUACGGGAGGCAGCAGUGGGGAAUAUUGCACAAUGGAGGAAACUCUGAUGCAGCGACGCCGCGUGAAGGAUGAAGUAUUUUGGUAUGUAAACUUCUAUCAGCAGGGAAGAAAAUGACGGUACCUGACUAAGAAGCCCCGGCUAACUACGUGCCAGCAGCCGCGGUAAUACGUAGGCGGCAAGCGUUGUCCGGAAUUAUUGGGCGUAAAGGGAGCGCAGGCGGGAAACUAAGCGGAUCUUAAAAGUGCGGGGCUCAACCCCGUGAUGGGGUCCGAACUGGUUUUCUUGAGUGCAGGAGAGGAAAGCGGAAUUCCCAGUGUAGCGGUGAAAUGCGUAGAUAUUGGGAAGAACACCAGUGGCGAAGGCGGCUUUCUGGACUGUAACUGACGCUGAGGCUCGAAAGCUAGGGUAGCGAACGGGAUUAGAUACCCCGGUAGUCCUAGCCGUAAACGAUG
rnacentral:rRNA from 1 species